AUGGGUUAAUACAGGUUUAGGAUGCUAAAACAGGCACCAACUUAUUCUUCUUUGAAGGACAUGAUGCACCUGUUAGUUCUAUAUGCCGCAUAGCAAAGAUAACGUUCAGUAUAUAUCUUUUCAACGGCUACCAAUAGAAAGAUCAAGGCGUGGUUACAUGUUGAUCAAGUUUCAAAAAUUGAUUAUGAAACCCCUGGUUACAUCUGGACGAAAUGGCAUACAAUACUGAUGGGUCAUGUAACGCUUAGCAUUUCUGUAUAGUCCAUAUUUAGACGAAAUGGCAUACAAUACUGAAGCUUAAAGAAGUCAUGGGUUAAUAAAGGUUUAGGAUGCUAAAACAAGCACUAACUUAUUCAUCUUUGAAGGACAUGACGCACCUGUUAGUUCUAUAUGCCGCAUAGCAAAGAUAACAUUCAGUAUAUAUCUUUUCAACGACUAUCAAUAGAAAGAUCAAGGCAUGGUUACAUGUGGAUCGAGUUUCAAAAAUUGAUUAUGAAACCAAUGGUUAUGUCUGGACGAAAGGGCAUACAAUACCGAUGGGUCAUGUAACGCUUCGCAUUUCUGUAUAAUCCAUAUUUAGAAAAUUGUAUUCACAUUUAUAUAUAUAGAAACUUAUACUCGUAUUUCAUUUCCAAUCUUGUAAUCCGAGACUUCGAUCAUAAUAA
rnacentral:lncRNA from 1 species